AAUCAGCAUUUUGUGGAGGGAAUUUAUAUAUAUAUAUAUUAUGAUUAAAAUUCCCGCCAUUUAAAACCCCUCCUCAGUAACAAAACCAUUUUCAAUUCACCAUUAAAUCCUCUCUCUUCAAGUUCUCACUGCCUAGACUCCUAUCUAUCACCAAAAUGGCGAAACCUAAAGAAAUACUAGUAGAAGAUGAAGAAGUGAAAUCCGAGGGUCUCGAAAUCAUUUCCAUUGGAUCUCUAUACGAAGGUCCCUGGGAGAAGAAGUACUGGAGCUCCUCUAGGGGGAAAGAUCGCUACCCUUACCCAGUGGGAUACCAUGCUGUUCGAGCUCAUAAUGGCAAUACCUGCAAGAUGGAAAUUCAUGAAGGACCGAAAGGGCCUUUAUUUAUGAUCACUGCUGCUGAUGGGCCUUCAUGUUCUGGGCAAACUCCAGAUAUUGCAUGGGAUAAGUUUCAGAAGAAAUAUUGCCCUCGAAUGAAGACAUGGCAUGGAAAGAGACUUUCAUGCAAGAUAGAUGGUGUGGAGUUUUUUGGGUUCAAAAAUUCAUUUGUCCAGAGGUUACUUCGAGAACUGGUGGCAAAUGUCAAUGGAACAGCAGAAAGGAACUUAUUAUCCCACAGUUUAUGCAAUGGGGCUCCCAUUAGAGAGCAUGAUAAGCAUACAGAUGCAGGUAUAUAUCUAGAUUUACAGUCGGACAUUGAGAGAACAAAGAUUACAAAGAAGAGAAGUAGACGUGAAAUAAAAAAUACAAAGCCAGUUGGUAGGAAUGGUCUAAAAAGACCUCGAUCUCAAGGCUUGGAAUGUGAUUCCAAGGCUACAAGCUCGGUACUAGUAAAUCAGAGGAAUCAAAAUCAUGGAAGUUCUAUGCCUUGUUCUACUUCAAAAGAAGGAAAUGACUUUUGUAAAAAUCAAGAAGCCUUGUCAGCAUCAGAGCACUUAAAUUUCAAAGCAGCUGAGGGGGAAGAUGGUUGCCUUUCGGCUAAUUACGGUUUUCCUUCUGUAUCCAUUGACUUUUCUGCUCAUCUCUCUGAGGGAAAUGUUCCAGUUCAAGAAUGGAACAAACUUGUGGGUUCUGUAGAUGGUAAAUCCAGCAGAGUGACCAACAACUUGGUUGAAGAGGGAAAACCUCUUGAUAGGUCAAAGAAUUUCAGCUUUCAAGUAGCAGGAGAAGGUAAAGCUGGUGAUGCACUGGUCCCAAAUGAUUCUUUUGGUGUAGAAACUAUCAAUCUCUUUGCCCCUGACACUUUAGAUUCUGUGCAAGACAAUAGUGCACAAUCCUCACCCACUACAGAGUAUAACAGUACCUACAAUCUGAAAGAAGACUUUACCACAGCCAACAAUGCCAUUCCUGAAGGAUUAGUAACUGAUUCACACCCAAAAGAAGAAAUAGACACAUUUAAUUCAACUGCAAAUCCUGGAAAGAGUGAUUCUGAUUCAAUUGGUCAGGAAAUUGCCACUGCUAUGAUGACGGUUCUACUCCCACAAGCAAUUCCUCUACUUAACAAGAAAUCAAGUAAGAAAAAGGCAACCAUUAAAGCUUCUGAAUCUUUGUCUUGCAUGGUGAAUCCCAAGAAGAAUGAUGAAACUAGCCACUUUGUGGAUGCUUCGUUUCCAGCUGCAAUGCUAAAUGAGAAGACAAAUGUGGAAAUGGAGGAAAAUAUGCAAAUCCCCAAAAUAAAUCUUGGUUCAGUUCCAAGUUCUGAACAUUCCAUGUCUGUUGUUCUUGACAGUUUUGAAGAUGCAUGUGGUGACCAUAUAACUAACGAAAUAGCAUCCUCUUCCCAAACUUUGGAAGCCGAUCUACCUGGCAUUGAUAAAGAAAAAAAUCUUUUAACCAAUCAAAAAGAGUAUAUUGUUGAUGCAAAUGAAUCCUCAGUUUGUGCUCAGAAUAACAAGAGCAAAAUUAUCUUGUGUGAUGAUGAAAUAAACAUGGUUUUGAAUAAAAACCUUCCAGAGGGUGUGUCUGAGUCUGUUUUAGGCGGCAGAUUUUCUGGCAAGAAAGUUUUCUUUGAAAGGGAUCAGGAUGUUUGUGUAAAUUUUGACCAAAACUCAGUAGGCAUUGGGUUCCAUCUUGUGGAGAAAGACAUCGAAAUUGAAUCCAAUUGCACUGAAGAUGCAAGUGAUGCCCACCAAAGAGGCAUGAGUAAUUCUGUGCAACUCUCAGGGAAGGAUAAUUCUGCUAAAAAUACAGCAAAUGAGACAGUCUCUGUUGUGCAAGCUCCAAAAAAAGUAUAUUCCAGAAAGGUCUCAAAGAAAGUUCCUAUCGUAAAAAAUUUCAGUGGUCCUCUCUCAGAAAGUAUCAUAUGCAGAAAUUUUGAAAGUUUUUGUGUCCCCAAAACACAUUGUGCCGCAGAAACUUUGGCUGUCUCUGUGAUUAGUGAAAUGAAAUCUUCUGAUGACAAGCAACAUGAAGGAGAUUUUGGUGCUAAAACUAGGCUUGAGGAACAAUGCCAUGUUUCAUCUGUGUUAUCUCAGAAUUCAGCAGUGUUUGGUGACUGCAAAGUAGAGGAGUUUUGCAAUUUUUCUGAUCCAUAUGCCAUACACAUGAAGAAAUCUGAAGGCUAUUCUGAUGAAGAACUGUUUGGGCCAAUGAAGCAUGCAGAGUCUAAUGCUUCUGUAGUACCUCAGAAACAGGAGAUAAGUUUCUCUGGAUAUAACUGUAAUGCCAAGGAUGUUAAAGUUAGUUCAGACAUAAAGCUUCAAAAGAAUGUAGAGAUCAAUAAUGAGCUACAGGGCAUUGUUGACUUUGCAGGAUGCUAUUUCCACCCCAUGCCUAUUUCUUCAGUGUUGUUAGCCACAAAAGGGGAUGAAAUCUACAUAUGUGUUUUAUGUGGCCUUCUGAAUGAGAAGAACAGAACCCUGUUCAUCUACAAGGUAGCAAUUCAAGAACAGAGCGUAGGAUGCCCUUCUUUCAUUGGCCACACAUCAGUAAUGUUGCCAUUUUUAAAAGAUAUCUUCGGCAGAGAUAUUGCACUGGAAACAUCUUGUUUGCAAUUCACUCCAGAUGGACAGUGUCUUGUUUUGCUUGGCAGCAUCAAGACACCUUAUUGCAGGGAAGGCAGAAUUGAUUGUUUGUGCUCAGCUUGUUCAUUGGAGUGCAGUGAGAAGAAUGCAGUGAAGAUUGUGCAAGCUAAAUCUGGUUAUGUUUCUGUUGUUGCAAAUCUCAAAACAGAUGACAGCGUGCAGUGUAUGUUGGUUUGUGAACCUUACUAUGUCAUUGCUGUUGGAGAGAGUGGGAGAAUGCAUGUAUGGGAAAUGAAUUCAACAUGGAGUGCACAGAUUGAAGAAAUUGUUAUAUCAGUUGAUGAUUACAUAUAUCCUUGCAUAGUAGAGCUGAAGAAAAUCCCAAAUUCUGCCUCUCUAGUUGUUGGUCAUAACGGUUUUGGGCAAUUUGGUUUAUGGGAUAUUUCGAGACUAGUCUUUUUGUCGAGGUUCUCUGCUCCAAGCACUUCAAUUUAUCAAUUCUUUCCAAUAAAUUUCUUUUGUUGGCCAAGAAAUGUCUCCAUUUCAUCAGGAACUAAUUUGCUGGAAAAAGUCAAAGAAAUUGUGGAUGCAUCAAAAUUUUGGUUCUCCAAACACCAUGAGAACAACCAUUUUCUUCCAUUGGAGAGGGAAGAUAUAGCCAUUUGGCUUCUUGUCUCAACAGCCUCUGUUUCUGAAGCUCAACAUAAUCAUAUAUCAAGUGAUUGCCAAACAAAUCCAGUCAGAGUGUGGAGGCUAGCACUACUGGUGAAAAACACAGUAAUCUUGGGAAGUACAUUGGAUCCAAGAACUCAUUGUGCAGGGCUGCUGCCAUUGGUGCAUUUUCUGGUCUUGGGGUCAUUGGUACAGACGAUGGACUUGUGUAUGCAUGGGAACUGUCUUCAGGAGCUAAACUUGGUACUCUACAUCAUUAUAAAGGUGGCGGUGUUUCAUGCAUUGCUACAGAUGAUUCAAGUUCACAAGUCUUGGCUGUAGCUGGUGAUGGAGGUCAAUUGCUACUGUAUAUGCAUUCUGCAAAAAAUAGUUCAAAUUAAUAAGACAAACAAGUUUUGCUAUCCAUGAGCAGAAAAGUUAGAUGUGAACCUUCCCUAUACGCGAUAUAUGGUGGUGGGUGACGAAAGGAGUCACAUCAACGAUACCCAUGCUGGUGGGUCUCAGUAUUUUGGUCGAGGCAAGCGGUGAGCACCGACAAAUUUAUCAAAUAUCAAUAGGUGAAAAUGAACUUUCACUUUUGCUCUCGAGACAAAAAGUUCACUUUAUAAAUUCAAAUUUCAAAUCCA